rnacentral:rRNA from 1 species
CGCGCAGGCGGCCAAGUAAGUCGAAUGUGAAAGCCCCCGGCUCAACUGGGGAAGGUCAUUCGAUACUGUUUGGCUUGAAGAUAGGAGAGGGAAGCGGAAUUUCCGGUGUAGUGGUGAAAUGCGUAGAUAUCGGAAGGAACACCAGUGGCGAAGGCGGCUUUCUGGCCUAUUCUUGACGCUGAGGCGCGAAAGCUAGGGGAGCGAACG